CCGGCGGGGGGGGGGCACGGGGGGCCUAGGGGAGGCAGCAGUGAGGAAUAUUGGUCAAUGGGCGCAAGCGUGAACCAGCCAUGCCGCGUGCAGGAAGACGGCCCUAUGGGUUG
rnacentral:rRNA from 1 species